GACGAACGCUGGCGGCGUGCUUAACACAUGCAAGUCGAACGGACGAUCGAGGCUUGCCUUGAUCGUUAGUGGCGGACGGCUGAGUAACGCGUAGGUGACCUGCCCCGAAGUGGGGGAUAACUGCCCGAAAGGGUGGCUAAUACCGCAUGUGGUGGUUCGUUCAAUCGACCCAUCAAAGCAGCAAUGCGCUUCGGGAGGGGCCUGCGUCCGAUUAGCUCGUUGGUGGGGUAACGGCUCACCAAGGCGACGAUCGGUAGGUGGUCUGAGAGGACGAUCACCCAGACUGGGACUGAGACACGGCCCAGACUCCUACGGGAGGCAGCAGUCGGGAAUUUGCGCAAUGGGCGAAAGCCUGACGCAGCAACGCCGCGUGAGGGAUGAAGGCCU
rnacentral:rRNA from 1 species